rnacentral:rRNA from 1 species
CGUCGCUCGUCAGAGUUUGAUCCUGGCUCAGGAUGAACGCUAGCUACAGGCUUAACACAUGCAAGUCGAGGGGCAGCAUGGGCUUAGCUUGCUAAGCCCGAUGGCGACCGGCGCACGGGUGAGUAACACGUAUCCAACCUGCCGAUCACUCCGGUACAGCCUUUCGAAAGAAAGAUUAAUCCCGGAUUGUAUGGCGAUUCCGCAUGGUUUCUCCAUUAAAGGUUUUUUCCGGUGAUCGAUGGGGAUGCGUUCCAUUAGGCAGUUGGCGGGGUAACGGCCCACCAAACCUACGAUGGAUAGGGGUUCUGAGAGGAAGGUCCCCCACAUUGGAACUGAGACACGGUCCAA